AACCGGUGGCAAAAGAAAAGGGCGGGAUAAGCUAAAUGGCUUUUCGCACUGGUUCCUAUUAAACCGGUGCGAAAUUAUCUUUUUCGCACCGGUUCAAACCAGUGCGAAUUACAAACGAAAAAAAAUAAAGAAAAAGGGAGAAAAUGGAUUUGCCACCUGUUCUAACCAAAACCGGUGCGAAAUGUUAAAAAAAAAAACAGUUUAAGGCUUUCUUUCUUCUUUUUUCUUUUUCCCCUUGCUUUCCCUCUUCGUUCUGCUCUUUUCUUUCCCUCCCAUUUUCGCAUCUCCUGCUCUUCCUCCCAGCUUUCCUUCUCCGUUUUCGCAUCUCCUUCUGCACUCCAUUGAAGCACCUUGCUCUCUCUCCAUUGAAUUGGUUUACGCGCUUUCUCACUCCAUUGAAGCAGCACCUCCAUUGAACCAGCUCUGGCCUCCAUUGAACUCACUUCGAGGGUUUGUCAUUGAAGCGCGCACGGCUACACCUCCACCCUAACGGCCUCCUUGUCACGGCUACACCUCCACCGAUUUUGAGCUUUCUCACCUCCAUUGAACCAGCUUCGAGGUAAGAUGAUGGUUUACCUUUAGAUAGGCGGACUAGGUUUAGACUAUAUAUGUUCGAAUGUUCUGCAAAGCAUUGUUGUUUUUACGGAGUUUGAUCUGCAUUGAUAAUGUGUUCUCCUUGGCCCUAAACUGAUUUUUAAUCUUAAGAAAAUGCGUUAUCUGUUUCUGUGCAUUAUAGCAAGUUUUUUAUUUCUUCUAUUACUGAGCAUGGUUAAAAUCUACUAGUAGGAAGCUAAGGAUUAGCUCGACUUCAAAAUUUCUCUCGAUUAAAACCGGGGUGGUGAGACUGGUGACUGGUGAGGUUAUACAAUUCCAUUAGCUCAGGGUCCCUGAUAAGUUUAAGGCGGCCCUGAACAUAGAGUGUGACAGCGACCAAUUAACUACAUGCAUUUAUUUUGUAACUAUAUACUGUAUAUAAUCUUGCUUUUAAUUCUUACAAUACUUGUCCAUGAUUCAUGAUUGUAUAUAUAUUAAUCUAAAACUUGUAUGUACUGUCAUACAAAUCUCAAGUCAAACUUCUCUUUCUUUUAAUUAUUUAAGAUCAUUUGGGGAAGAACAGAAAGAAGAAUGGAGGUUCAUCUUCCUAAUUUUCCAAAAGAUUUUAAUGCGUCAGAUUUUAUCCCUAAUCUUUACUCUACAAAAACCAUUUUGGGUAUUUUUGCUGCUACUUCAAUUGCUGUUUUCUGCUUCACAUGGAUUCUCUCAGGUUACCAGCAUUAAGAUUGUUCCACAGGAUGAAAGUUUAGUUAUAACCGGAUCUGCAGACAAGGGUCAUAAACAAUGGCUGGCAGAAGUUCAGUUUCUUGGUGUUGUGGAACACCCUAAUCUUGUCAAGCUCAUAGGAUACUGCACUGUGGAUGGAGAGAGAGGGAUAUAGAGAUUGCUCGUUUAUGAGUACAUGCCUAACAAAAGUUUGGAAGAUCACCUUUUUAAGAAGACAUACCCACAUCUUCUUUCUUUUCUUUCUCCAUAAAAAAGGUGAUCUUUGUUUUCUUAAAAAGGUAAUCAGGCUUUUCUUAAAAAGGUGAUCUUUCUUUUCUUUCUCCAAAAACAAAAAACGGGCCUUAUCUUCUUUCUUUUCUUUCUGUCUUAUGUAUUUCUCUUUCCUCGAUCUCAUCUCCUCUCUCAUCUGCCUCUCUCAGUCUCUCUUAUCUACAACAAUGGAGCCUCAAACUCCUUCUCUCUCCUUCGAUCUCGUUAUCUUAUUUUGGUUAGAUUUUUUAUUAGAGAGAGAAAUUGAUUGAUUUUUUUGGAUUAUAGGAGUUCAACAUUGAGAAAUUGCAGUUAGUUGCAGCAGAGAAGAAGAAGAUCAGGCAGAAGUAUAAGCGUAAGGAGAAACGAGUUGAAGUUUGCCAUGCUAGAAGAGAAAAGAUCAGUGAGAGGAUGAGAAUACUACAAGAUCUUGUCCCUGGGUGUAAUAAGGUUCGACCACUGCAGCUGUUGCCUAUUAAUCAGAGUGUUAUUUUCCCAUUACUGCCUAUAAGCUCAUAAACAACUCUCUUCCCUACCCUAACCCUUUCCUUCUCAAGCUCGACAGUUCUCCCCCUUUCCUUUGCUAAACACUUUGAUAGAAAAACUAUGGUAAGCAGUUAUAUUAGAGUCGGUCAAGUUGAUGCAAUGUCUGGGUUAAAAAGUAGCAGAAGCAGAAUAGCAAUAGCAGAACAGCAAGCAGAACACAAAGUAGCAGAAGCAAAACAGCAGUAGCAGAAUUUAUAUGUUUUUUUUUCA